rnacentral:rRNA from 1 species
GGGUUGUGAGGUUAAGCGACUAAGCGUACACGGUGGAUGCCCUGGCAGUCAGAGGCGAUGAAGGACGUGCUAAUCUGCGAUAAGCGUCGGUGA